AAACGUUUAGUAUUUGAUUGGUGAAGAGUUUUAGGAUCAUGUGUUUAACAUCUUAUUUAUGUAUUGUAUGUUGUUAAUAGAGGUUAGGAAAGGUUGAUGAAGAGAUCGACGUACUUCAGUCCAAGUUGAAGCAAAUUGAAGACGGUUUGCUUAGUCUAUUGAUGUUAAGGAUGCAUAUGUAACCGUCUUGAAGAGGUGCGGCGGAUGCUACGCACUGCUGGACAUGGAUCUCAGAAUUCCUUUUGGUUGUCUGCUCAACUACUCUGCAGCUUCUCAGUAGAUGAUUUCCCAUUACUUGUGCACUUACUCGAGGAUGGAUUAUUGGUUCUUUGGCAGGAAAAUGUCGGUUUUAUAAAAUAUCCGGAUGCACUUCAAAUUUCAAGUAGCGGACAGUAGCGGAAAUUAUUGGUUUUUGCAGCAGGAAUUUUAGUUUAAAUAUAUUACUAAUACAUAAUGCAGGUUGGAAGAAUGUUAGAUUGAUUUUCUUUUUUCACACGUACAGGAAUAAAUUUGAAGUUUGGUAAUGGACAAGAUCAAGAACAACAUUGGUUUAAGUUUGGCAAAGAGGCUAAGGAGGCCGAGAAGUCAUUUCUAGAAAGAGCUGGUGCAUUGUUAACCCAUUUUUAACCGAGGGAAUGCAGAAUGGAAUCAUUUAUAGGAUUUAAAAUUGUAUUUCUGUAUUGUUGUGCAUCUUCUGCUGGUCUAAAUACCCACAUGUGGCUUUUCAUAUCAGUGUUUAACUUGGAUUUAAAGACCUUAAGUGUCAGUGUUUAACUUGAUCUCACCUGCAGUGUAUGCUUGGAGAAGGUUAAUGUCGGAGAUGUACUUCGUAGCUUGCCCUGCCUUCAUAAGUUCUGUUUAGUUGCUCUGCACUGUUACAUUUCAACAAAUAGUUUGUUUUCUAUUUGUUUGAUGAUAUACCCUGCCAGUUCAACUUAGUCAUUCUACGCGGCCUGUUGUCCGAAGAAGAGCCGAGAAUUCAAUCCAAUUAUUUGAAGUCGAAUCGAUCCAAUGAGUAUUGUUUGAGACUCUCCGACGUCGGUGUUUAAAAUCAGAUAAGUGUCUCAUUUCAUAUAGCUUAGCUGAUUUAAUCUGCUGCUUUUAGAAUGUUGAAUUUUGUUAUCUCUUUUGUGAUGGACUUGCUUAUGCAAAUUCGUUGUUACAGAAAGUUCU